rnacentral:rRNA from 1 species
UUGGAGGGCAAGUCUGGUGCCAGCAGCCGCGGUAAUUCCAGCUCCAAUAGCGUAUAUUAAAGUUGCUGCAGUUAAAAAGCUCGUAGUUGAAUUUCGGGACCAUCAUGUCGGUCGUGCCUCGGUACGUACUGGUAUUGUUGGUUUCUCCCUUCUGACGAACCAUGAUGUCAUUUAUUUGGUGUUGUGGGGAAUCAGGACUGUUACUUUGAAAAAAUUAGAGUGUUUAAAGCAGGCUCACGCUUGAAUACAUUAGCAUGGAAUAAUGAAAUAGGACGUUUGAUUCUAUUUUGUUGGUUUCUAGGAUCGACGUAAUGAUUAAUAGGGAUAGUUGGGGGCAUUAGUAUUCAAUUGUCAGAGGUGAAAUUCUUGGAUUUAUUGAAGACUAACUACUGUGAAAGCAUUUGCCAAGGAUGUUUUCAUUAAUCAAGAACGAAAGUUAGGGGAUCGAAGACGAUCAGAUACCGUCGUAGUCUUAACCAUAAACUAUGCCGACUAGGGAUCGGAUGAUGUUAAUUUUUUAAUGACUCAUUCGGCGCCUUACGGGAAAC